CGAGCCUCCACCCAGAAGCCCGCAGCUGCAGUUUUUUUCCCUUCACCUGACAGGUCUGUUUUUUAAUCCAAAGGAUUUGUCCAAGUGACGCCUGCGCCCAGCAAAACCUCGGAAAAAUACAAAGAAUGUAAUAAUAAUGGUUCUAGUAAUAAUUUAACCAGCGCCUAUUUGCCAGGCCUCUUUUUUGUUUUUAAUGUUUAUUUAUUUUUGAGAGACAGAGAGAGAAUCCAAAAUAGGCUCCACACAGUCAGCACAGAUGCCAGGCUUCUUCUUGAAUCCUUCCAACCACACUGGAGGAAAAGAGGACCGAGGCGCCCAGUGUCCACGGUAACCCCUAGGGGGCGCGCGUGGUCCAGAUCGGAGACGCCAGAACAAUCCUGGACCGCGCCGCUGCGAGCGCACCUCAUUCUAGGGCAAAAGCCCCAGCUCAGGUGCAAAUACUGGCUGUUAGAGGACCCGGUGCUAACUUUGGGGGAACCCCUCCCUCACUCCCUGUGGUUUUGGGGCUCACCAGUCAAGGUGGCCCCAUCUCUCUCACCCCACGAGCUGGACCAAUCACAGUCCUUCCUGGAUCUUCUUGACAGAAUCUAGGAGGCAGGCUUUCUUUCUGCUGGGCUUGCUAAACUGGCCAGAGAUGACCCUUGUGCUGUCCAGUUCCAUCACACCCACCCAGCAGAGAAAGCCCGAGUGACAAAGAGAGAGAGCCGCAAUGAUAUCAUUCAAGCCCCUAGAUCCAGAUGGACCUGAAGCUAGACCCACUCCUAAUCUGUCCACGAUACAAGUUUAUGUGAAGAUCAUAUGUAACCACCUGCAAGUAACUUAAAAGCAUGACUGUUCAAACUAAAAGGAAGAAUUUCUCUUCCCAGCAGGGUUGUUUCAAAGAACAGAGCAUGAUUCACUGUAUUUUCUUAAAGAAGAAUUUCCCUGUGUUGAUUUUUUGAGGGGCUGGGAAGUCUUCACAAAGACAAUAAGAUUUGUGAAAAAUAACCAAGAACAGAAUAUUUUCAUUUCAUCCUCCUAAGAAAACUUGAAAUUAAAAGAGAAAUGCAGCUGCUAAUUGGGAAGACUGUGAAGUAAGCACACCCUCAGAUAGUGCAAUAUUUUUAGUCCUUGUACUCUGUGGCUCCUCUUUUUCCAGUACCUUCUUGAGGAUAAAUUUAAGAGUUCAACUUUAUCCAGGAUUUAAACAACUAUGAGACAAUUCUUCAGGGAAGAGGAAAAGUAGUCUCCACUCAUAGAGGAAAUGGACUCUACAGGAUGGAGCUCAGCUUCAUCUGAUUUUAUCCUAUCAUGAGGUACAAAUAUUGAACUAAAUUCCUCUUUAAGCAGCUUCUAGAAUGAACAAAGGAUUCACAUACAAAACAUCAACAGGCACACAGAAGGAUGGGUUUAUAAAUACAGGUGUAAAGCCAUUGUAAGAAUGAACAAACUAGUAAACAUUUAAUGCCUCAUGGAGGUUUUGCCUCUAGCGUCUUGGAAUGUAGACUGUGUAAAGGAGGGUGACCUUACCCUGAGGAAGACUUGGAGGAAGAGAGAGAAUUCAAGACCUUCACAGAUUCCUUUCUCUUGAGACAUUCAUCCAUCCACCUGUUCAUUCCACUAUUGGUUGAGCAUCUACUCAGUACCAGAAAGAACAGGAUCCUUGCCCUCAUGAAGCUCACAGUGGUAUCGGGUGGGGUGGGGGUGGGGAGCAAACAAUAUUUGUAACAGUAAUUAUAAGUCAGUAAAUUACCUUAUAUGUUAACUGGUGAUAAAAAUGGAAAAAGGAAGCGGGGAGCCAGGUAAGCCGGCUCAUCAGUGCAGGAGGUGGAGAUCCUGAAAUCCUAACCCCACAGAUUAGUGCCCUAGUGCACAAAUUGCAAUGCUCCUACAGCACACACUGAAGCAACUCUAAUCCCCAAUUUCUUCCUUAUCAACAAGGACAUUCCAAUAUCUUUACUGUUUGAGUUGACUUUAUCUGGACUUACAUAAUACCAUUUUAUAUAUGGAUGGUAGAUGAAAAUAAAAGGUAGGAAAGAAUUUCUCUAAAAAUAUCAGGGAAACAUUUUCUUAUAUAUUUAUUCAACAAAUUUUAUAGAGCACUUACUAUGUGCUAGACACCAUUCUAGGUGCUAGAUAUCAGUGAUGAACAAGGUAAUUUCAGAGAGGGAUAAACUCACUGAGAGGAAGAAACAAAAUGUCAACCUCUCCCAUUUACUACCUUUUGCCUUAUUAUGUUUUAUAUCUGUUUAUUAUGUUUGUUUUCUAUUAUCUGUUUCCUAUCUCUAGAAUUUUUGUCUUUUUGUUCAUUCCCUGGCAUCCAAAAACAGUGCUUGGCUCAUACUAGAUGAAAGAAUCUCAUUGUUUCUUUUUGCAUUCCUUCAAAUAAAGUUGGGCAUUUAUUUCUUCAUGUUUUUCAGCCAAUACGUGCUCUUUCUAUUGUGAAAUGAUGGCUUAUGUCUGUCUUAGUCUGUUCAGGCUGGUCUAACAAAAUACCACAGACUGGGUAGCUGAUAAACAACAGAAAGUUAUUCCUCACAGUUCUGGAGGCUGGAAGUCUGAGAUCAGGGCACUGGCAUGGUUGGGUGAGGGCUCUCUUCCAGGUGGCAGAUUUCUCCUUAUCUUCACAUGGCAGAAGGGGCUAGGGAACUCUCCAGGACCUUUUAUAAGAAACUAAUCCCAUUCAUGAGGGCUCCGCCCUCAUGACCUAAUCACCUCCUAAGGGCUCCCACCUCCUAAUACCAUCACAAGGGGUAUUAGGAUUGCAACAUAUGAAUUUUGGUGGGACACACACAUUCAGACCAUAACAUGUCCUUAGCCCAUUUUGUUUUAAAUUAGGGUAUUUUUUUGGUUGUUGUUUCUUAAUGAUAAGAGUUUUUCAUAUAUUAAAAGAUGAUAACUCUUUGGUAUGUGUAAUAAAUAUUUCCCCCAUUUUGCCCUUGAUAUUUUGACUUUAUUGAUGCUUUUUUUUCUCGUAUGAAGCUUCAUAUAGUAAAAUGUGUUGAUAUUACCCUUUAUGAUUUCUACCUUUAAAAAGGGCCUUUCUGGCUCCAUUUAUGGUAGUAAUGAAGUAGCUUCUAUUGUACCUACCCUCCCACAGAUACAAAUUAUAAACUCUGGACGAAAUGUUUUUUAAAACUACCCCAAAGUACUGAAAAGUAGUCCCAAACAGGGAAAAUACAUUUAGAAGAGAUAAAUAGCACUGGGUGAGCUUUCCAUUUUUAUGGCUUUUUGUCUGAAAGCAGGCACCAGUCAACACUAUGUGGGAGGAUGUACGAUCUUAUUGGCUUAAGGAACCAAAGGAGAGAGGUCAAGUCAACCACAGCAGCUAGGAAGUGACAGAGAAUCCUAGGAAGGAAAGAGAUACAGGGAAAGGCCCCAAAUUCUGCAUAUAAAUUCUGCCCAAAUCCCCGGAUGACUUCUGAAUUUGGCAUGCACAUGGAAAACACCAAACAUCUCAGCUAAUCCUAAAAUGAUUGAACAAAAAUUUCAACCGAUGAUGACCACAAGGGAAACAGAGCUUAGAUACAGUUUGAGCACAGACUGAUAAAACAAAACAAACAAACAAACAAACAAAUGCAAAUCAACAUUCUUCAGACAGAUAAAAUAGAAUCUGGAGACUAUAAAUAUCAUUUACAGAGUCCAGGAUACAACACAACAUUAUUAGCCAUAUGAAGAAACUGGAAAAUGUGUCCCAUAUUGACAAGAAAAUGCAAUCAAUGGAGACAGAUCCAGGGGUGAUACAGAUGUUGGAAUUAGCUGACAAGUUUUGAGAGCAGUAAAUGUAAAGAUGCUUAAGGACAUAAAUGAAAAUGUGCUCAUAAUGAAUGUACAGACAGUAUCCAUCAUCAGAGAAAUAAUAACUACAAAAAAAUCAAAUGUAACUUCUAUUACUGAAAAAUAAAAUAUGAGAGAUAAGAAAUUCACUGGGUAGGCUUAACAGUAUAUAGGAGAUGCCAGAAGAGUCAGUGAACUUGAAGAUAUAUUAAUGAAUAUGAUCUGAUCUGAAGAAUACACAGGAAAAAACAUUAAAAAUAACAUCAGCAGAGUCUGAGUAACCUGUAAGACAAUAAAACAAUAUCUAGCAUAUGUGUAAUUGGAAUUACAGAGGGAGAAAUAGAGAAGAUAUGGUAGAAAAAAUAUUUGAAGAAAUAAUGGCUGAAGUUUUCCAAAAUUUGGUGAAAGACAUAAAUUUAUAGUUUCAAGAAGCUCAAAGAACCUCAGUAGGAUAAACACAAGCAAAACUACAUCUAGGUAUAUCAUAGUCAAACGGAUAAAACCAAAGAUAAAGAGAAAAAUUUGAAAGGAUUCAGAGAAAAAUGGUAUAUUAUAUACAUAAGAAUAACAAUAUGAUUUGACUGAGUUCUCAUCAGAAACAAUGGAGGCCAGAAGACAAUGAAACAUCUUUAAAGUGCUAAAAGGAAAAAUAAGCUUUUCAACCCAGAAUUCUAUGUCCAACAAAAAUAUCUCAGAAAAUGAAAGCAAAAGAAAGACAUCUCAAGAUACAUAAAAACAAAGAGAUUUAUCACCACCAGACCUGUACUACAACAAAGUGACCAGUGUGACCUCCACUGUUAGGUGUUAUGGGGCACUGUGGGUUCUGCUUUGAUCUUUUGGAUAGCUCUCUCCAGGGGAAGCCAGCCACCAUGCCCUGAGGACACUUAAGUAAAGCUGUGGAAAGCCCACAUGGAGAGGAAUUGAAGUUUUUGCCAACAGUCAAUACCAAGUUGCCAGGUAUGUGAGUGAGUCACUUGGGAAGUGAAUCCUCCAGUCCUAGUAAAACCUUCAGAUGAAUGAAGCCCCAGCUGACAUCUGACCACAAUCUUAAUGGAUACUCUCAGACAGGACUGGAUAUCCAAAUCACUCCUGAAUUUCUGACACAAAGAAACUGUGAGAGGUAUUAAAUAAACACUGCUGUUUUAAACCACUUUUAGUUGAUUUGUUAUACAGCACUAGAUAAUUUACAUAAGCCUCCAUCAUAAGAAACUGGGUUGGGGUGGGAGGACAAAAUAAUAUCAUAGUUAGAAGAAGAGAAAAAAUAUAAGAGCAGAAAUGAAUAAAAUCUAAAACAAACAAAGUUGGUCUUCUGAAAUAAUCAACAAAAUUGAUAAAACUAUAGGCAGACUAAUCAAGAAUAAAAGAAGGGUGCCUAGCUGGCUCAGUUGGUAGAACAUGCAACUCUAGAUCUUGGGGUUGUGAGUUGGAGCCCUGUGUUGGAUGUAUAGAUUACUUAAAAACAAAAUCUUUAAAAAAAAAAAAAAAGAGAGAGAACACAGAACACAAAUUACUAAUAUCAGGAAUAAAGAGGUGAUAUUACUAUAGAGACUACAGAUCAUUAAAAAGAUAAAAGAAUAUUAUUAACAACUUUAUACCAACAAAUUCAACAACUUACACGAAAUAGAUAAAAAUCUUGAAACACUAUGAUUACCAAAAUUGAGACAAGAUGAACUAGAAUAUAUGACUGCUUGGAUAUCUAUUAAAGAAAUUAUUUCACACACAAAAAACUCCAGGCCCAGAUAACUUCAUUGAUGAAAUUUAUCAGAUAUUUAAAGAACAGUCUUAUACAAAUACCAUCUUACACAAACUCCUUCAUAAAAUGGAAAGGGACCCUCCUAAAUUCAUUGCAUGAGUCAUGAAUAACACUGAUAACAAAAAAUUUCCAGAAAAAUUAUAGACAAAUAUCCCUUAGGAACACAGACACAAAAUCUUUAAGACAUUAGCAAAUAGAAUAUAGAAACACAAAAAAGAUAAUAAAUUAUGACCGAGGCUUUUCUCAGAAAGGAAAGGAUGGUUUAACAUUCAAAAAUCAAUGUAAUUAACCAUUAAUAGAAAAAAAGAUAAUCAUGUGAUCGUUUUAUCAGAUGCAAAAAAAUACUCAUUUGUGACUAUAAAAAAUCAGCAAAUUAGGUUUAGAAGUAACUUCCUCAAUAUGACAGAGGGCAUCUAUAGAAAUUGUCAACUAACAUUUGUUUGUUUACUUAUUUAUAAAGCUUAUUUAUUUAAGUAAUCUCUACACCCAAAAUGGGGCUCUAACUCACAACCCCAAGAUCAAGAGCUAUGCACUCCUCUGAAUGAGUCCACUGGGUGCUUGUUCUAAACAUCAAAUUUAAUGGUGAAAUAUUGGGGUGUCUGGGUGGCUCAGUCAGUUAAGUAUCUGACUGUUGAUUUUGGCUCAGGUCAUGAUCUCACGGUUUGUGAGUUUGAGCCCUGCACUGGGUUCUGCAUUGACAGUGCAGAGCCUGUUUGGGAUUCUCUCUCUGCCCCUCCCCCACUCACACAUGUACUCUUGUGCUCUCUCUCUCAAAUAAACUCGUGAAAUAUUGAAUGCUUUCUCUCUAAGAAUAGAAACAAGCCAAGGAUGUUCACUUUCAGUAUUUCUAUCCAACACUAUAUUGGAUCUAAGCCAGUGUAAUAAGACAAGAAAAAGAAAGAAAACUCAUAUAGAUCAGAAAGGAAGAAUUAGGGGUGCCUGGGUGGCUCAGUCGGUUGAGCAUCUGACUUCAGCUCAGGUCAUGAUUUCGCAUUGAUGAGUUCAAGCCCCGUGUCGGGCUCUGUGCUGACAGCUCAAAGCCUGGAGCCUGCUUCGGAUUCCAUGUCUCCCUCUCUGUCUGCCCCUCCCCCGCUCAUGCUCUUUCUC